GUGAUGAUUUAUCGAUAAUUAGCGCUGCACUGCAACUUGCUACUUGACAGCCAAACUGAUUUUUGUGACCACGCCCCCGAGGCGGAAUUUCACCUGGCGAAUUCCACCUGGUCAUAUGCUGUGUGUGAACGAACAGUGAGCACGUUUAGCGUGAGCAGCUAACCAAAAGCCUGCUAGCUAACGCUGCAACCGGAGCAAACCAAUACAAAGCACGAAAUCGCGGAUACAUGCAACAGAACGAGCGAUCAUAUCCUCCUAAACUGCAGUGUAACACGCCAUCAAGACGACAUCUCAGCUACGACUUCCUUCAUCUACGGACACUCUCCAAAAGACUUGGGCAUUUAGCUUUCCUUGCUAUUCACAACCUGGGCUAGUCAUAGGGAUGGUGUGGUGUAAAGCCUGUGGAAACAGCGUGGGUGUGUGUGUGGACCGCUGCUGUGACAUCUGCUGCCAGGGCUGUGUGAGCUGCUGUGGUUGCCUGUGCCCCCGUGACUGUCUCUACACAUUCUGUGCCAUGUAUUACCGCCUUGCCCACUACUGUUCUGUCGGUCAGAAACCAGAGCCGGCCUAUGCCAUGCCUGGAUCACUAUAAACUGUUAUUCAUCGCCUGUGCUGCUGAGCAGCUCCCAGAUGGAGUGCAGGGACACAGACACAGAACCAGCGCUGACCAGCACCAGCAGGCCUCCUCCAUCAGCUCAGCCCACCACUUCAUCCAUUCAGACUCAGCCUCCAUCUCCUCUGAUGAACCUCUCAUGCUACACUUUAAUUCAUGGGGAUGGUGUGGUGUAAAGCAUUAGCACCAUGGUCCCAGAACAGUGGAAACGGUCACGAGGCCCCUCCAUCCUGCACGUCCUGCAGCAUGGGUGUGUGUGUGGACCGCUGCUGUGACAUCUGCUGCCAGGGCUGUGUGGGCUGCUUUGGUUGCCUGUGCCCCCGUGACUGUCUCUACACAUUCUGUGCCAUGAUUGCCCGCCUUGCCCACUACUGUUCUGUCGGUCAGAAACCAGAGCCGGCCUAUGCCAUGCCUGGAUCACAGAAAUGCUUCAGUGUGGGAGAAGAGGUGUAGAUGCCACUUUGGCCAAGUUGACGGAGACACAGCGGAGACAGAUGGCCCCAAUGGCAGUCCUCCUCACCCAAAUGUUCCAUCAUCUUUCACCUCUGUCUGUAUUGAUUGGGUCACCAUUUGCUUUUGAGUAGAUUGUUAAGCAUUCUGUGCUUAUUAUUUUGUGAUUGUAUUUUUUUUUAUCAUGUAUACCCAUACUAGCAAUGUUUCUGUGCUCGAUAACAAAAGUUAACAAAUGAUGGCAAUUUCAAUAAAGGCGCUGCCACGCAAAUUCA